AACCUGUGAUGACCUGAUUCUGCCAAAUGAUUUUGCUGAUUAUACCCCUACCGUUCCAUUUAUUUCUGAGGUU